UUAGAACCAAUGUGGUUGGACACAAGAAGCUCUGGAUCACGGCCUAACAGGUGCAGCAACUCUUUACAGCUUUGCGCACACUUCACACUUCACACUUCAGCUUCACCUCUUCAUGGAACCGGUUUGAAGUCUCCCCCUCUCAACUGACUUCUCAGCCAUCUUAGAGAAGCUAGGACGCGACCAGAUCAUCUUCAAAACACUAGUGAGGCUGAUCAAUACUUCACACCCGGCUUGCCCUCUUUAUAGACUAGGUUUAGGGUCUCCCCCUCUCAACAGACUUCACAGCCCCUUUAGAGAAGCUAGGAGAUUCCCCGGAACUGUUUAAUGAGGCUACAAGCAAUUGUACCUGAUACAUUAUCCCAAAGGUGCAUCAGUACCUAUCAAAAACAAGAAAAUUAAUAUCAUGCAUCACACUUGAUGCACACAAUCCCAUAAUUCAAUCAUGAUCAUCUUAAGUAUCUUUUCAAGCACAAGCAAUGAAUUUAAAAAGUCUAAGGGAACUUCCCUUGUGUUUUUGUGAGUUUCCUAACUCGGCCAAUGCACCAUCUUCAUGGCAUCAUCAACUUCUUGGAAAGGCAGAGUGGAUUCAUUAGCUUCUCCUCAAUCACCUCUCAUUGAAGCCGCAUUGAUGGAG
rnacentral:lncRNA from 1 species